rnacentral:rRNA from 1 species
AUAGAGUCAAGUGAAUAAGUGCAUCAGGCGGAUGCCUUUGGCGAUGAUAGGCGACGAAGGACGUGUAAGCCUGCGAAAAGCGCGGGGGAGCCGGCAAUAAAGCAAUGAUUCCGCGCGAUGUCCGAAUGGGGAAACCCCACUGCAUUCUGUGCAGUAUCCUAAGUUGAAUACAUAGACUUAGAGAAGCGAACCCGGAGAACUGAACCAUCUAAGUACCCGGAGGAAAAGAAAUCAACCGAGAUUCCGCAAGUAGUGGCGAGCGAACGCGGAGGAGCCUGUACGUAAUAACUGUCGAGAUAGAAGAACAAGCUGGGAAGCUUGACCAUAGUGGGUGACAGUCCCGUAUUCGAAAUCUCAACAGGCGGUACUAAGCGUACGAAAAGUAGGGCGGGACACGUGAAAUCCUGUCUGAAUAUGGGGGGACCAUCCUCCAAGGCUAAAUACUCAUCAUCGACCGAUAGUGAACCAGUACCGUGAGGGAAAGGCGAAAAGAACCCCGGGAGGGGAGUGAAACAGAACCUGAAACCUGAUGCAUACAAACAGUGGGAGCGCCCUAGAGGUGUGACUGCGUACCUUUUGUAUAAUGGGUCAACGACUUACAUUUCAGUAGCGAGCUUAACCGAAUAGGGGAGGCGUAGGGAAACCGAGUCUUAAUAGGGCGAUGAGUUGCUGGGUGUAGACCCGAAACCGAGUGAUCUAUCCAUGGCCAGGUUGAAGGUGCCGUAACAGGUACUGGAGGGACCGAACCCACGCAUGUUGCAAAAUGCGGGGAUGAGCUGUGGAUAGGGGUGAAAGGCUAAACAAACUCGGAGAUAGCUGGUUCUCCCCGAAAAACUAUUUAGGUAGUGCCUCGAGCAAGACACUGAUGGGGGUAAAGCACUGUUAUGGCUAGGGGGUUAUUGCAACUUACCAACCCAUGGCAAACUCAGAAUACCAUCAAGUGGUUCCUCGGGAGACAGACAGCGGGUGCUAACGUCCGUUGUCAAGAGGGAAACAACCCAGACCGCCAGCUAAGGUCCCCAAUGAUAGAUUAAGUGGUAAACGAAGUGGGAAGGCCCAGACAGCCCAGGAUGUUGGCUUAGAAGCAGCCAUCAUUUAAAGAAAGCGUAAUAGCUCACUGGUCGAGUCGUCCUGCGCGGAAGAUGUAACGGGGCUCAAAUCUAUAAACCGAAGCUGCGGAUGCCGGUUUAUCGGCAUGGUAGGGGAGCGUUCUGUAGGCCGAUGAAGGUGCAUUGUAAAGUGUGCUGGAGGUAUCAGAAGUGCGAAUGUUGACAUGAGUAGCGAUAAAGCGGGUGAAAAGCCCGCUCGCCGAAAGCCCAAGGUUUUCCUGCGCAACGUUCAUCGGCGUAGGGUGAGUCGGCCCCUAAGGCGAGGCAGAAAUGCGUAGUCGAUGGGAAAACAGGUUAAUAUUCCUGUACUUGAUUCAAAUGCGAUGUGGGGACGGAGAAGGUUAGGUUGGCAAGCUGUUGGAAUAGCUUGUUUAAAGCCGGUAGGUGGAAGACUUAGGCAAAUCCGGGUCUUCUUAACACCGAGAAGUGACGACGAGUGUCUACGGACACGAAGCAACCGAUACCACGCUUCCAGGAAAAGCCACUAAGCUUCAGUUUGAAUCGAACCGUACCGCAAAACCGACACAGGUGGGGCAGGAUGAGAAUUCUAAGGCGCUUGAGAGAACUCAGGAGAAGGAACUCGGCAAAUUGAUACCGUAACUUCGGGAGAAAGGUAUGCCCUCUAAGGUUAAGGACUUGCUCCGUAAGCCCCGGAGGGUCGCAGAGAAUAGGGUGGCUGCGACUGUUUAUUAAAAAACACAGCACUCUGCUAACACGAAAGUGGACGUAUAGGGUGUGACGCCUGCCCGGUGCUGGAAGGUUAAUUGAAGAUGUGAGAGCAUCGGAUCGAAGCCCCAGUAAACGGCGGCCGUAACUAUAAACGGUCCUAAGGUAGCGAAAUUCCUUGUCGGGUAAGUUCCGACCCGCACGAAUGGCGUAACGAUGGCCACACUGUCUCCUCCUGAGACUCAGCGAAGUUGAAGUGGUUGUGAAGAUGCAAUCUACCCGCUGCUAGACGGAAAGACCCCGUGAACCUUUACUGUAGCUUUGCAUUGACUUUGAAGUCACUUGUGUAGGAUAGGUGGGAGGCUUAGAAGCAGAGACGCCAGUCUCUGCGGAGCCGUCCUUGAAAUACCACCCUGGUGUCUUUGAGGUUCUAACCCAGACCCGUCAUCCGGGUCGGGGACCGUGCAUGGUAGGCAGUUUGACUGGGGGCGUCUCCUCCCAAAGCGUAACGGAGGAGUUCGAAGGUUACCUAGGUCCGGUCGGAAAUCGGACUGAUAGUGCAAUGGCAAAAGGUAGCUUAACUGCGAGACCGGACAAGUCGAGCAGGUGCGAAAGCAGGACAUAGUGAUCCGGUGCGUUCUGUAUGGAAGGGCCAUCGCUCAACGGAUAAAAAGGUACUCCGGGGAUAACAGGCUGAUUCCGCCCAAGAGUUCAUAUCGACGGCGGAGUUUGGCACCUCGAUGUCGGCUCAUCACAUCCUGGGGCUGUAGUCGGUCCCAAGGGUAUGGCUGUUCGCCAUUUAAAGUGGUACGUGAGCUGGGUUUAAAACGUCGUGAGACAGUUUGGUCCCUAUCUGCAGUGGGCGUUGGAAGUUUGACGGGGGCUGCUCCUAGUACGAGAGGACCGGAGUGGACGAACCUCUGGUGUACCGGUUGUAACGCCAGUUGCAUAGCCGGGUAGCUAAGUUCGGAAGAGAUAAGCGCUGGAAAGCAUCUAAGCGCGAAACUCGCCUGAAGAUGAGACUUCCCUUGCGGUUUAACCGCACUAAAGAGUCGUUCGAGAACCAGGACGUUGAUAGGUGGGGUGUGGAAGCGCGGUAACGCGUGAAGCUAACCCAUACUAAUUGCUCGUGAGGCUUGGACUCUAU